GGAAGGCGGUGGCUCAAUGGCAGAGCACCAUAGCAGCUCAAGGUUCAAUUCCUGGCUGUUCCA
rnacentral:tRNA from 1 species